AGCUAUUAAGAGAUGGAACAAGGAUUUCAAAUUCAGCCCAGGGGACCUGUGUGUGACUGUGAACUGUAACAGUUUCCUCACCUGCCCAAUAGCAAGGUGCCAUGUUGGAGAGACCCAUAGAGCAAAGAACUGUUGGCCACAUGGCCAAAGGUCUGCAAGGAACUGAAUCCUGCCAACAACCAUGUGAGUAACCUUGGAUCUGGAUCUUUCCCCAGUUGAGCCUUCAGGCAAAACCAUAACCUUCCUUAAUACCUUGAUUGCAGCCUUGUGACACUCUGAAACAAAAGACCCAGAUAAGCUAUGCCAGAAUUCCUAAAUCAAAACAGC